UACGAAGGGGGCUAGCGUUGUUCGGAUUUACUGGGCGUACAGCGCACGUAGGCGGAUCGUUAAGUUUGGGGUGAAAUCCUGGAGCUCAACUCCAGAACUGCCUUCGAUACUGGCGAUCUUGAGUCCGGAAGAGGUGAGUGGAACUCCUAGUGUAGAGGUGGAAUUCGUAGAUAUUAGGAAGAACACCAGUGGCGAAGGCGGCUCACUGGUCCGGUACUGACGCUGAGGUGCGAAAGCGUGGGGAGCAAACAGG
rnacentral:rRNA from 1 species